AAUCAGCGAGUCAGCAUGCGAUGGCUGCAGCAGCUGGAGAACUCCGGAGGUCAUUAUGGCUCUUCACACACAGGAGAGAAGAAAGAGGGAGGAGCAGAGAGCGGAGGAAACUGAGCUGACAGGUAAUAUAUGCUCCCCGUGCCUUCCUCCCUCCGGACGGUGAGUUUGCCCCCCAUGCCGGCUGGUCCGCACUGACGUCUCUGCUUUUUUCCCUCUCCGUUCCGGAUGCACUGGGGGUUAAGCGCGUGGCCGGUCAGCCGCGGUGUGUGCGGUUAAGAGGGAGUGGAAUUUACAGCUCUGCAGCAGCAUGAUGAGAAAAACUACUUCUUUGGGAACACCUCGUGAAAUCGUUGGUCAGGCAGCAGGCUGCUGCAGCACAGCACUCUCUGGUUCAUUACCUCCUCAUGGCUGCAGCAGUGAAGACAUCUAAAAGACGGACUCAGAAACUCACAGUCCCCGAAACGUGCAGCUUUUAUCUGGGAUCUUUUCGCUCCGAGGCGCUUUCGGAUGGAAUACAACUCUAUCGGGAUGGUUGCACACUUUGCCAACACUCAAUUUUCCAAUGGCCAGCCGUAAUUACUGGAAGCAUGUUUGGUGUUUCGAGAGCGCUUUCGUAACAGCAGGGGGACAGGUGUACGCUGGCCAAGAAGGGACAUUGGUGUCACAGUGGGACGCAAGUUUCAGGCCAGGUGGGGGGUGAAUCGGAUUGAUGGAAAAACAGAUGUGCUGGCAUAUUAAUUCUCCAGAGAGGGCGGUUCGGUGGCUGCUGGAUAUGUGUGUCAGUGAGUGAACCCACAACACCCAGGGUAGUAACCCAGUUUCUCUCUGUCUCUCUGCAUGCUUUCCAAUCACUAGGCAGGGGCAGGGCUGUAGUGCUGCAGUGCCAUCUCCCCCUCUCAACACACUCAUCCCUAAAUCUUUACUAACAUUGUGGCGCCACAAGAGUCCAGCCAUACCUCGCCAUCGUAUCUAACCCUGUCAAGCACCACAAACUCAUCCAGGAUUUCCACCCCUGCCCAGAAUAGCCUGUCUAAGUGUCCUUCUGUUAUGUUUCCACCCCUGCACCUCUCCUUUUGGCCUGGUAUUGGAUAGGCUCCUGAGAGGAGGGGGAUGAGACAGGGCGGUGUUGACUUGUGGAAUGUGUGGAGCCGGAGCAAAGAUUCAUUAGAGAGCUACUGAACAUUUCAUGCUGCCAUGCAAACAGUUAUUGAUCUCUAGCACACAGCAUCAGAGUUCUAGAGAAGCUUCUAGAAUAAACACACCCAGGUCAACUCUGGGGAGAAAAAAAAAAGAAAAAAAAAAAGAAAA